rfam:Felis catus isolate Cinnamon breed Abyssinian chromosome X, whole genome shotgun sequence.
ACCUGGCCGGCUCAGUUGGUAGAGCAUGUGACUCUUGAUCUCAGGGUUGUGAGUUCGAGCCUCACGUUGGGUG